ACCACCAGGAGUGGAGCCUGCGGCUUAAUUUGACUCAACACGGGAAAACUCACCCGGCCCGGACACAGUAAGGAUUGACAGAUUGAGAGCUCUUUCUUGAUUCUGUGGGUGGUGGUGCAUGGCCGUUCUUAGUUGGUGGAGCGAUUUGUCUGGUUAAUUCCGAUAACGAACGAGACUCUGGCUUGCUAAAUAGUUGCGCCACCCGCCGUGGUGGGCGACAACUUCUUAGAGGGACUAGUGGCGUUUAGCGACGCGAGAUUGAGCAAUAACAGGUCUGCGAUGCCCUUAGAUGUUCGGGGCCGCACGCGCGCUACACUGAAGGAAUGAGUGUGGGUCUAGCCNUGGCCGGAAGGUCUGGGUAAUCCGUUGAACCUCUUCGUGACUGGAUAGGGAAUGUAAUUAUUCCCUUGACGAGGAAUUCCAUCUAAGCGCC
rnacentral:rRNA from 1 species